rnacentral:rRNA from 1 species
GACAGAGGGGGCAAGCGUUGCUCGGAAUCACUGGGCGUAAAGGGCGCGUAGGCGGGGCCGGAAGUCGAUCGUGAAAUCCUUCGGCUCAACUGAAGGGGGUCGGUCGAUACUGCGGGUCUUGAGGGAUGCAGAGGAGACUGGAAUUCCCGGUGUAGCGGUGAAAUGCUUAGAUAUCGUCAAGAACACCUAUAGCGAAGGCAGCUUACUAGGCUGUAACUGACGCUGAGGCACGAAAGUGUGGGGAUCAAACAGG